rnacentral:tRNA from 1 species
ACUUCUGUAGCCCAACUGGAAGAGGCGGCUGUCUCAAAAACAGUCUGUUGUGGGUUCAAAUCCCACCAGGAGUACCA